ACAAAUACUUCCGCAGAGAUGAUCCUGCUGAUUACCUGCAGUGCAGCGCUGACAUCAUCACCAGAGUCAGUCAGAUGGACAAAGUUUUUCCAGAGCUCAUCUACACCAUCCAGCAUCUGGUUGCCAAAUCCCUGGAGGCCACAUGGUUCAGACUGUAUCAGGACACAUUUUCUGUUUGUCCACAUGCUUCUGAAUCUGAUGAGGACAUUAAAGGACCUCUGCUGAUGGGAAAACUGAAAGCAAACGCAUGGGAGGUUUUCAUAAGCUUCAUUCGCAGUGUGAUCAAGUUUCAGUCCGGCAUGGUGAAUCGUGAGAUCAGAGCUGAGUUUGAAGACUAUCUGGUACAAAACUACGAGCACUACUCAACACCUUAUGUGGUAAGAUCCAAAGCCAAUCAUAGCUCCGAAUUAAGCACUGAUGGAGAAAAGUACAAACCCAAGAUACGGUGCAUCAUGGACAAACUGGUGACAGUGGACUUUCUGGUCAAUGACCUGUGUUUUUAUCUGGAGUGUGAGAGGUCAGGACCGUCCAGCAGAGGGCGCUCUACAUGCACUGCGAUAUAAUUAUAAAUGACUGACUGGGGUUUUGUGAGAUUACAGAUUCAGGCGUAUGGCAGACGCUGGCGAUAAGAUGGUAUCAGAGGGUUUGUAUAGCGAGAGCGAUUAUGCCAUGCUUCAUCAUAAAGCUGAGCUGAUCAUCAACAUAUUUCUGACCUCACAGAUUUCACCAAAACUCCUGAUAAACAGCAGUGAGGCCCAAAAAGAAGUCGUCCUGCAGCGUUUUGCCUCUGGAAAAGUGGACCGAACGCUCUUCUAUCAGCCAGUAGUGGACUUGUUUCCAGUUCUCAUCUUCUGUUGGAGAAAGUUUUGCUGUCUGAAGGUGAUGCGGCAUCUUUACCCCAGUAAAGCACUGAUGAUGGUAAAAUCACUGCGCCCCUUAAACCUCCAGCAGGAGUUCCAGAUCAUCAGAUCCACAGAAGUUAAGGAAGCCACGCUGCGUUUCUCCAGCCAACACGGCCUGGUUCUGCUGCUCCCGCAAGCAAACUAACACACUGAGGACACAUGAAAACAGAUGAGGAGUCGAGACAGAGCAACUCUCAAUAAAAAAAACAAGGCAACA
rnacentral:lncRNA from 1 species